AUUGAACGCUGGCGGCAGGCCUAACACAUGCAAGUCGAACGGUAACAGGAAGAAGCUUGCUUCUUUGCUGACGAGUGGCGGACGGGUGAGUAAUGUCUGGGAAACUGCCUGAUGGAGGGGGAUAACUACUGGAAACGGUAGCUAAUACCGCAUAACGUCGCAAGACCAAAGAGGGGGACCUUCGGGCCUCUUGCCAUCGGAUGUGCCCAGAUGGGAUUCGCUAGUAGGUGGGGUAACGGCUCACCUAGGCGACGAUCCCUAGCUGGUCUGAGAGGAUGACACGCCACACUGGAACUGAGACACGGUCCAGACUCCUACGGGAGGCAGCAGUGGGGAAUAUUGCACAAUGGGCGCAAGCCUGAUGCAGCCAUGCCGCGUGUAUGAAGAAGGCCUUCGGGUUGUAAAGUACUUUCAGCGGGGAGGAAGGGAGUAAAGUUAAUACCUUUGCUCAUUGACGUUACCCGCAGAAGAAGCACCGGCUAACUCCGUG
rnacentral:rRNA from 1 species